rnacentral:rRNA from 1 species
CCAAUAGCGUAUAUUAAAGUUGUUGCAGUUAAAAAGCUCGUAGUUGAAUUUCGGGGUUCCACCGUUGGUCGGGCUAUUGUUUGUACUGGCGUGUGGAAUUUCUACCUUCUGGGGAACUAUCAUGUUAUUAAUUUAGCGUGGUAGGAAACCAGGACCUUUACCUUGAAAAAAUUAGAGUGUUCAAAGCAGGCUUAUGUCUGAAUACAUUAGCAUGGAAUAAUAAAAUAGGACGGUGGUCCUGUUUUGUUGGUUUCUGAAUCACCGUAAUGAUUAAUAGGGAUAGUUGGGGACAUUAGUAUUCAAUUGUCAGAGGUGAAAUUCUUGGAUUUAUUGAAGACUAACUACUGCGAAAGCAUUUGCCAAGGAUGUUUUCAUUAAUCAAGAACGAAAGUUAGGGGAUCGAAGACGAUCAGAUACCGUCGUAGUCUUAACCAUAAACUAUGCCGACUAGGGAUCGGACGAUGUUAACUUUUCUUGACUCGUUCGGCGCCUUACG